UACGUAGGUGGCAAGCGUUAUCCGGAAUUAUUGGGCGUAAAGAGUGAGCAGGCGGCAGUUUAAGUCUGAGGUUAAAGCGUGGGGCUCAACCCCAUAAAGCCUUGGAAACUGAACAGCUAGAGUACGAGAGAAGUAAGCGGAAUUCCAUGUGUAGCGGUGAAAUGCGUAGAUAUAUGGAGGAACACCAGUGGCGAAGGCGGCUUACUAGCUCGAAACUGACGCUCAGUCACGAAAGCGUGGGUAGC
rnacentral:rRNA from 1 species